GGUUAUAGCUCAGUGGUAGAGCACUUGCCUCGCUUGCAUGAGGUACUGGGUUAAAUCCUCAGCACCA
rnacentral:tRNA from 1 species